rnacentral:rRNA from 1 species
AACGAACGCUGGCGGCAGGCUUAACACAUGCAAGUCGAACGCCCCGCAAGGGGAGUGGCAGACGGGUGAGUAACGCGUGGGAAUCUACCCAUCUCUGCGGAAUAGCUCCGGGAAACUGGAAUUAAUACCGCAUACGCCCUACGGGGGAAAGAUUUAUCGGGGAUGGAUGAGCCCGCGUUGGAUUAGCUAGUUGGUGGGGUAAAGGCCUACCAAGGCGACGAUCCAUAGCUGGUCUGAGAGGAUGAUCAGCCACAUUGAGACUGAGACACGGCCCAAACUCCUACGGGAGGCAGCAGUGGGGAAUAUUGGACAAUGGGCGCAGGCCUGAUCCAGCCAUGCCGCGUGAGUGAUGAAGGCCUUAGGGUUGUAAAGCUCUUUCACCGGUGAAGAUAAUGACGGUAACCGGAGAAGAAGCCCCGGCUAACUUCGUGCCAGCAGCCGCGGUAA